rnacentral:lncRNA from 1 species
UUUUUCCCCUGAUUUUUUUUUUUAAAAUUUGGUAUUUCCCAGUGUGGGUUUGCCUCAUUUUACAAAUAGCUGCCUAUGUCAAGUUGUGGGUAUGUGAUUUAAAUAUUUUAAUUUGAAUCACAUUUUACAUAGUCUAGGAAACUGACAAAGGAAUCCUAUAGAGAAUUGUUUUCUAAAGUGAAUAACUGCUUCUCUACCUACCCGCCCCCCUCAUUCUUCUUUUCUGUGCGUGUUUUUUGGGGAAUGUUAGGGGAUAAAUCUGGUUUGGCUUAACUAAAACGCAGCCUUUCAAAUCCAAAACAGAGAGCUUAGGCACCCAACAUUCUAUAGAAUGUGUUAUUUCCUCAAGAGGUUGCUAGGAACAGUUAUGUAGAUCUACCAGGUGCAGGGAAGCACUCUACAUCCUCACCCAGGUCCUGUAUCCCUGCAAGACUGCAUUGGAAAGACUGAAGAGGAAGCUGAAGAAUGAUAUGCUCCACCACAAUGAGGGACUAAACAACAAAAAGGAGGCACGGGAUUCAGGAAGGAAAAAAGAGCUGACAAGCCAUAGCAGGACGGCCAUCCCCUGAGAGAUAGGAGAGGAGGAGAAACAGCCCGACAGGGGCCUGGAGCAGCUGGCUGGCGUCAGUAAUUUCCUGCAGGAGACUCUGCUGGCCGAGCACACGUCACCCUUCUGUUGAUCCUCUGUAUUCUCCCUUGUGCUACUAAAAUACGCUAAUGUAAGUCCUGGGCUGUGCUGAGCUAAAUGCAGUUAUUUAACUUCAUCGCUAUGGAACCCAGGUCUAAAGCAGCAACAUCUAUUUGGAACAAGGUGGGGAGGAGGUAAGCCCCAAACAUCCCUGAGCAGCAGGAAUACACAUUACAAAGUUUCUCUUUCCACACCGAAGAGUCUUCUGGGCCCUUGCUUGAGACCCCUGACUUUUACUUAACACAUAGGUCUAGUUUGCUUGGUGAACUGCUUUCUGACACCUGAACAGACUGGAAGCAGGGAACUGAAGGUGAGAAAAGACUGCCACAAACAGGAGCCAAGAGCUAAGAGCCAAGCCAGGGAGGUGACAUUCAUGGUGACAACUGUGGAUGGGAAUCC